GUCGAACGGUAACGGGGGUAGCAAUACCUGCCGACGAGUGGCGCACGGGUGAGUAACGCGUAUGCAACCUUCCCUUGACAGGGGGAUAGCCCGGGGAAACCCGGAUUAAUACCCCGUACGGACGCAGAAAGGCAUCUUUCAGCGUCGAAAGCCCCGGCGGUCAAGGAUGGGCAUGCGUGCCAUUAGUUAGUCGGCGGGGUAACGGCCCACCAAGACAUCGAUGGCUAGGGGUUCUGAGAGGAUUAACCCCCACACUGGUACUGAGACACGGACCAGACUCCUACGGGAGGCAGCAUUGAGGAAUAUUGGGCAAUGGGCGCAGGCCUGACCCAGCCAAUCCGCGUGCAGGAUGACGGCCCUACGGGUUGUAAACUGCUUUUACAUGGGAAGAACUGCCCCGACGUGUCGGGGACUGACGGUACCAUGCGAAUAAGCAUCGGCUAACUCCGUGCCAGCAGCCGCGGUAAUACGGAGGAUGCAGGCGUUAUCCGGAUUUAUUGGGUUUAAAGGGUGCGUAGGCUGGCCAGUAAGUCAGUGGUGAAAUCCCGUAGCUUAACUACGGAACUGCCGUUGAUACUGCUGGUCUUGAGGACAGACGAGGUAGGCGGAAUGUGUAGUGUAGCGGUGAAAUGCUUAGAUAUUACACAGAACACCGAUUGCGAAGGCAGCUUACUAGACUGUAUCUGACGCUGAUGCACGAAAGCGUGGGGAGCGAACAGGAUUAGAUACCCUGGUAGUCCACGCCGUAAACGAUGAACACUCGUUGCGUACCACUUGAGGUACGUGACUGAGCGAAAGCAUUAAGUGUUCCACCUGGGGAGUACGUCGGCAACGAUGAAACUCAAAGGAAUUGACGGGGGCCCGCACAAGCGGAGGAACAUGUGGUUUAAUUCGAUGAUACGCGAGGAACCUUACCUGGGCUUAAAUGCAGGGUGUCCGCCCCGGAAACGGGGUUUCCCUUCGGGGCACCCUACAAGGUGCUGCAUGGUUGUCGUCAGCUCGUGCCGUGAGGUGUCGGGUUAAGUCCCAUAACGAGCGCAACCCCUAUCGUUAGUUGCCAGCGCAUAAAGGCGGGGACUCUAACGAGACUGCCACCGUAAGGUGAGAGGAAGGUGGGGAUGACGUCAAAUCAGCACGGCCCUUACGUCCAGGGCUACACACAUGUUACAAUGGCCGGUACAAAGGGCAGCUACCUGGUGACAGGAUGCUAAUCUCGAAAACCGGUCCCAGUUCGGAUCGAAGUCUGCAACUCGACUUCGUGAAGGUGGAUUCGCUAGUAAUCGCGUAUCAGCAAUGACGCUGUGAAUACGUUCCCGGGCCUUGUACACACCGCCCGUCAAGCCAUGGAAGCCGGGGGUACCUGAAGUCCGUAACCGCAAGGAUCGGGCUAGGGUAAAACUGGUAACUGGGGCUAAGUCGGAACAAGGUA
rnacentral:rRNA from 1 species